UUUUGGAUUUAUGGGGCUUUAUUCAUAAAAAAAGGGGGAAUUUUCAACACUUCGGACAAUAACUCAAAAAUGCUUUCACCAAUGUCCAUGAAACUUUGGUGAAUUGUUUAUAUCUAUUGAUGUAAGCUCCCUUUUGUUUUUUUUUAAUUUCAGAUUUUAAGUUUUGGAUUUAUGGGGCUUUAUUCAUAAAAAAGGGGGGAUUUUCAACACUUCGGACAAUUACUCAAAAAGGCUUUCACCAAUGUCCAUGAAACUUUGGUGAAUUGUUUAUAUCUAUUGAUGUAAGCUCCCUUUCAAUUUUUAUAAAUUUCAGAUUUUAAGUUUUGGAUUUAUGGGGCUUUAUUCAUAAAUAAAGGGGGAUUUUUAACACUUCGGACAAUUACUCAAAAAGGCUUUCACCAAUGUCCAUGAAACUUUGGUGAAUUGUUUAUAUCUAUUGAUGUAAGCUCCCUUUCAAUUUUUAUAAAUUUCAGAUUUUAAGUUUUGGAUUUAUGGGGCUUUAUUCAUAAAAAAAGGGGGAUUUUUAACACUUCGG
rnacentral:lncRNA from 1 species